rnacentral:tRNA from 1 species
UCGUGGGUGCGCAGGUCCUUGGCCGCGGUCGGGUAGCCGCCGACGACCCGGGCGAUCUGGGUGCCGUCCCGGUCGACGAA